GGGUUAAGUCCCGCAACGAGCGCAACCCUUGCCUUUAGUUGCCAGGCAGUUCGGCUGGGCACUCUAAAGGGACUGCCGGUGUUAAACCGGGAGGAAGGUGGGGAUGACGUCAAGUCCUCAUGGCCUUUAUGACCAGGGCUACACACGUACUACAAUGGCCGAUACAAAGGGCAGCGACACUGCGAGGUGAAGCCAAUCCCGUAAAAAUCGGUCUCAGUCCGGAUUGGAGUCUGCAACUCGACUCCAUGAAGUUGGAAUCGCUAGUAAUCGUGGAUCAGCAUGCCACGGUGAAUACGUUCCCGGGCCUU
rnacentral:rRNA from 1 species